UUUUAGAAUUUAAUUUAAAGUCUAACCUGCCCACUGAAAAAAUUUAAAUGGCCGCAGUAUUUUAACUGUGCAAAGGUAGCAUAAUCAUUAGUCUUUUAAUUAGAGGCUGGAAUGAAUGGUUGAAUGAAAUAUUAACUGUUUCAUAAAAAUUUUUAAUAAAACUUUAUUUUUUAGUUAAAAAGCUAAAAUAUAAUUAAAAGACGAGAAGACCCUAUAAAUCUUUAUAUUUAUAUAAUUUUAAUUAUUUAGAUUAUUCUAAUUAAAUUUAUUAAAAAUAUUUUAUUGGGGUGAUAUUAAAAUUUAAUAAACUUUUAAUAAAAAUUAAACAAAAAUUAAUGAAUUAUUGAUCCAUAAAUUAUGAUUAAAAAAUUAAGUUACUUUAGGGAUAACAGCGUAAUUUUUUUAGAGAGUUCAUAUUGAUAAAAA
rnacentral:rRNA from 1 species